rnacentral:rRNA from 1 species
CUGUACUUGGUGUUACUGCGAAGGGGGGACGGAGAAGGCUAUGUUGGCCGGGCGACGGUUGUCCCGGUUUAAGCGUGUAGGCUGGUUUUCCAGGCAAAUCCGGAAAAUCAAGGCUGAGGCGUGAUGACGAGGCACUACGGUGCUGAAGCAACAAAUGCCCUGCUUCCAGGAAAAGCCUCUAAGCAUCAGGUAACAUCAAAUCGUACCCCAAACCGACACAGGUGGUCAGGUAGAGAAUACCAAGGCGCUUGAGAGAACUCGGGUGAAGGAACUAGGCAAAAUGGUGCCGUAACUUCGGGAGAAGGCACGC